rnacentral:rRNA from 1 species
UUUGUUUUUACUUUGUUCAGUUUUGAGAGGUUUACUCUCAAAUACUUUUGUUCAUUGAAAACUGGAUAUUUGAAGUAAAUGUAAGUAAUACAAACCGAGAACACCGCGUUGAAUUUGAAAGCUGAACAAAUUGUUUAGCCUGAAGCAAAAUAGGCGGACGGCCAUAAAAUCUUUGAUUUUAUGAGACGAUCGAUCUUUUUGCCGUACAGGCUGAUUUGUGAGCUGGAUAGAGUUUUUUAAUAAGUUCAAUUGCUUAUUUUCUUGAUCUAACUUCUAUCGCUAGAAGAAGGAUCAAAACCCAACCGUAAGGUUGAUAAGGUUAAGUGAAUAAGGGCGCACGGUGGAUGCCUUNAAUUGACGGGGGCCCGCACAAGCGGUGGAGCAUGUGGUUUAAUUCGAAGCAACGCGAAGAACCUUACCAGGUCUUGACAUCCUUUGACCACUCUAGAGAUAGAGCUUCCCCUUCGGGGGCAAAGUGACAGGUGGUGCAUGGUUGUCGUCAGCUCGUGUCGUGAGAUGUUGGGUUAAGUCCCGCAACGAGCGCAACCCUUAUUGUUAGUUGCCAUCAUUCAGUUGGGCACUCUAGCAAGACUGCCGGUGACAAACCGGAGGAAGGUGGGGAUGACGUCAAAUCAUCAUGCCCCUUAUGACCUGGGCUACACACGUGCUACAAUGGGAAGUACAACGAGUUGCGAAGUCGCGAGGCUAAGCUAAUCUCUUAAAGCUUCUCUCAGUUCGGAUUGCAGGCUGCAACUCGCCUGCAUGAAGCCGGAAUCGCUAGUAAUCGCGGAUCAGCACGCCGCGGUGAAUACGUUCCCGGGCCUUGUACACACCGCCCGUCACACCACGAGAGUUUGUAACACCCGAAGUCGGUGAGGUAACCUUUUUGGAGCCAGCCGCCUAAGGUGGGAUAGAUGAUUGGGGUGAAGUCGUAACAAGGUAGCCGUAUCGGAAGGUGCGGCUG